ACUCCUUGAAGAAAUGAGACACUGCUCUGUUCCUUCCCACCCAGUACCUGAGCGGUCAGCUAUGCCAAAUACUUCUCGAGAAACUGAGACUGAUCUUUCUGUCCAACACAGAAGGCAGAUGUGCAGAUUUCUGUUGGCAGAUGAUGAUAUAAAUCACAUUGGAAGAUGAGCAGAUGGUGCCAAGAGAGAUCGCAAUCUAGGAAGAUGAUAAAAUCCUAUGAAGAUUACAUGGUCCAUCAGUAGAGUCUUGUAAAUGCUGUCAUGUGCCAAUAAAAACUUAAGACGUGUAUUAGAAUGUGUGCCAGCUA